rnacentral:rRNA from 1 species
CCUACGGGAGGCAGCAGUGAGGAAUAUUGGUCAAUGGACGAGAGUCUGAACCAGCCAAGUAGCGUGCAGGAUGACUGCCCUAUGGGUUGUAAACUUCUUUUAUAAAGGAAUAAAACGAGGCACGUGUGCCUUUUUGCAUGUACUUUAUGAAUAAGGAUCGGCUAACUCCGUGCCAGAAGCCGCGGUAAUACGGAGGAUCCGAGCGUUAUCCGGAUUUAUUGGGUUUAAAGGGAGCGUAGAUGGGUUGUUAAGUCAGUUGUGAAAGUUUGCGGCUCAACCGUAACAUUGCAUUUGAUACUGGCAGUCUUGAGUACAGUUGAGGUAGGCGGAAUUCGUGGUGUAGCGGUGAAAUGCUUAGAUAUCACGAAGAACCCCGAUUGCGAAGGCAGCUUACCAAACUGUGACUGACAUUGAUGCUCGAAAGUGUGGGUAUCAAACAGGAUUAGAUACCCCUGUAGUC